rnacentral:rRNA from 1 species
CAGCAGCCGCGGUAGUACGUAGGUGGCAAGCGUUGUCCGGAAUUAUUGGGCGUAAAGGGCUCGCAGGCGGUUUCUUAAGUCCGAUGUGAAAGCCCCCGGCUCAACCGGGGAGGGUCAUUGGAAACUGGGAAACUUGAGUGCAGAAGAGGAGAGUGGAAUUCCACGUGUAGCGGUGAAAUGCGUAGAGAUGUGGAGGAACACCAGUGGCGAAGGCGACUCUCUGGUCUGUAACUGACACUGAGACGCGAAAGCGUGGGGAGCAAACAGGAUUAGAUACCCCGGUAGUCCCUGUCUCUUAUAC